GACGAACGCUGGCGGCGUGCUUAACACAUGCAAGUCGAACGGAAAGGCCCUGCUUUUGUUGGGUGCUCGAGUGGCGAACGGGUGAGUAACACGUGAGUAACCUGCCCUUGACUUUGGGAUAACUUCAGGAAACUGGGGCUAAUACCGGAUAGGAGCUCCUGCUGCAUGGUGGGGGUUGGAAAGUUUCGGCGGUUGGGGAUGGACUCGCGGCUUAUCAGCUUGUUGGUGGGGUAGUGGCUUACCAAGGCUUUGACGGGUAGCCAGCCUGAGAGGGUGACCGGCCACAUUGGGACUGAGAUACGGCCCAGACUCCUACGGGAGGCAGCAGUGGGGAAUAUUGCACAAUGGGCGGAAGCCUGAUGCAGCAACGCCGCGUGCGGGAUGACGGCCUUCGGGUUGUAAACCGCUUUCGCCUGUGACGAAGCGUGAGUGACGGUAAUGGGUAAAGAAGCACCGGCUAACUACGUG
rnacentral:rRNA from 1 species